rnacentral:rRNA from 1 species
UACGGGGGGGGCAAGCGUUGUUCGGAAUUACUGGGCGUAAAGUGCUCGUAGGUUGCCAACUAAGUCAGACGUGAAAUCCCUCGGCUUAACCGGGGAACUGCGUCUGAUACUGGAUGGCUUGAGUGUGGGAGAGGGAUGCGGAAUUCCAGGUGUAGCGGUGAAAUGCGUAGAUAUCUGGAGGAACACCGGUGGCGAAGGCGGCAUCCUGGACCGAUACUGACGCUGAGGAGCGAAAGCCAGGGGAGCAAACGGG